UACGGGGGGAGCAGCAGUGGGGAAUUUUGGACAAUGGAAACCUGAUCCAGCCAUCCCGCGUGGGUGAAGGCCUUCGGGUUGUAAAGCACUUUUGGCAGAAAGAAACGGCGCAGGAUAAUACGUGCAACUGACGAGUACCUGCAGAAUAAGCACCGGCUAACUACGUGCCAGCAGCCGCGGUAAUACAUAAGGGUGCAAGCGUUAAUCGGAAUUACUGGGCGUAAAGCGUGCGCAGGCGGUUCGGAAGAAAGAUGUGAAAUCCCAGAGCUUAACUUUGGAACUGCAUUUUUAACUACCGAGCUAGAGUGUGUCAGAGGGAGGUGGAAUUCCGCGUGUAGCAGUGAAGUAGUAGAUAUGCGGAGGAACACCGAUGGCGAAGGCAGCCUCCUGGGAUAACACUGACGCUCAUGCGCGAAAGCGUGGGAGCAAACAGGAUUAGAUACCCCCGUAGU
rnacentral:misc_RNA from 1 species